rnacentral:rRNA from 1 species
AGAGUUUGAUCCUGGCUCAGAUUGAACGCUGGCGGCGUGCCUAACACAUGCAAGUCGAGCGGUAACGCGGGAGCAAUCCUGGCGACGAGCGGCGAACGGGUGAGUAACGCUUCGGAAUCUGCCCUUUAGUGGGGAAUAACCAGCCGAAAGGUUGGCUAAUGCCGCAUACGACCCUCUUCACACAGGGGAGGGUUGAAAGC